rnacentral:tRNA from 1 species
CUACCAGCACCCCUGUCCGCAGGUGACAACCGCAGGGAGGCCAGCCUGGGGGACCCCGCUUGGCCCUGGUGCCCCUCCUUUCCCCAGAGCCCUGGCAUUCCUCAGACACGGUCUCCUUGUUUAGCCCAAGCUGGCCUCAAACUUGUGGCAAUCCUGCCUCUGCCUCCCAGGUGCCGGGAUUAUAGAUGUGCACCACAGCUCCCUGCUGGCUUUCAGUUUUAAAUUGAUUUUGCCUUUGAGAUGAUCCAGGAGAUUUGUACAGCUCUGAGACACUUCCUGUGACAGCCAGCAACCAGCUGCCCACCCUGCGCCUGACACUAGAGAGCUCGGGGCGUGCUGUCAGCAGGAGUGGGGACUCGGACAGAGAGGGGCAGGCGCAGCUUCGUCCCCUCUGCUGCAGUGUCCUGUGGUGAUGAGAAGUCACGCGGACCUUGCAGAAGGGUGAGCUCUCAGCAUUGCGCGGGCGCCACCGCAGGGCCCAGCUGGUGUUGGCCUGGCCCUGGGGCGUGCAUCCAUCUCCUGCUGCGAACCUGCCUCCGCCUGCCAUCUGUCCUCAUCUGCCUGUCGCCUACUAGCGGUGUAUCACCUCUUCAUUCAGGAUCUGCCUACUGCUAUCAGUCACCUAUCACUUACCUACUAUCCGUCCCCAUCUAUACACAGCCUUAUCUCCUCCUAGCCCCUAUCUGCCAUCUAUCUGCCUCUCACCUGUCUAUCAGCUGUCAUCUGUCUCCCACCUACCACCUGGUACAGUGGACCUUCCAGUUACCACCGGCCUGACAUACGAACAACUUGGGUUACAACGGGAAUGCACCAGGAAAUGAUUGGUGCUUCUGGUAAAUUACGCACGUUAUACAGCCCUUUUUUAUUAUGAAAAGGUUGGGUAAGGGGUGCUUUGAGAGGGCUUGGAAUGCUUUAUGGAUAUUUCCAUUAUUUCUUAUGGGAAAAAUAGUCUUGACUUGCAACCAACUUGAGUUACACCCAGCCCUGGAGAAAGAAUUGAGUGUGCACCAGAACCACUGAGCUAAAUCCCUGGCCCUAAGAAGCAACUUUUAAAUGACCAAACAAAGGGAGACCAGUGGGUAAAUAUUUGGGAGCCCGAAAACCAAAUGGGAACAGUUUCAAUUGACUUUUGUUGUUUUUAGUGCUGGGGAUAGAACCCAGGGCCUCGUGCAUGCCAGGCAAGGGCUCCACCACUGAGCUACAUCCUCAGCCCUUUUUAAAUUUUUUAAAUUAAUUAAUUUAAAUUAAAAAAUUUAAAAGGGUCUCGCUAAGUUUCCUAGGCUGGCCAUGAACUUACCACCCUCCUGCCUCGGCCUCCUGAGAAGCCAGGAUUACAGGUGUGCACCAUUGCCCUGGUUCCAAUGGACUUUUACAUGUUUGAGUUUUAAAGUUACCCUCAGUGGGGAGUGCAGGGCAAGAAGAACUAGAAAGAAAGAUGAA